AUGGCUCAGGAUGAACGCUAGCGACAGGCUAACACAUGCAGUCGAGGGGCAGCACGGGAGUAGCAAUACUUGGUGGCGACCGGCGCACGGGUGAGUAACGCGUAUGCAACCUACCUAUCAGAGGGAAUAACCCGGCGAAAGUCGGACUAAUACCGCAUAAAACAGGGGCACCGCAUGGUGAUAUUUGUUAAAGAAAUUCGCUGAUAGAUGGGCAUGCGUUCCAUUAGGUAGUUGGUGAGGUAACGGCUCACCAAGCCGACGAUGGAUAGGGGAACUGAGAGGUUGGUCCCCCACACUGGUACUGAGACACGGACCAGACUCCUACGGGAGGCAGCAGUGAGGAAUAUUGGUCAAUGGGCGGGAGCCUGAACCAGCCAAGUCGCGUGAAGGGGAAGAAGGAUCUAUGGUUCGUAAACUUCUUUUGCAGGGGAAUAAAGUGCAGGACGUGUCCUGUUUUGUAUGUACCCUGAGAAUAAGGAUCGGCUAACUCCGUGCCAGCAGCAGC
rnacentral:rRNA from 1 species